ACUUUAAUGACGAUAUCGCGUCUGAUUGGUUAGAGGUUCAAAUGAAGCGGGAACUUUCGUCAUUUGAGCCUCUAACCAAUCAGACGCGGUAUCGUCAC
rnacentral:pre_miRNA from 1 species